rnacentral:lncRNA from 7 species
UUCUCAGGGCCAGAUGUUGUUUGAGUUUAUGUCCAGCACAACUCAACUCAGUGAAGCUGCUAUUUACACCAUGUAACUUGCUGGUGGCUCCUUCAGCUCCAUACAGGGUUACAGCUGUGUGAUGGGGAUUGCUCAGGAAAUGCUGCUGAGAUGGAUAACAUAAGAACACCUGGGAGGAAGGGGAAGGCAGUAACCAUGCCCACCUGGAGGCUCACAGCCAUCCACUGGAGUCCCUGGUUUUGCUCUUCGAUGCUGCUGCCUCAAGGGAGAGAGAUCGUGGGAUGAAAGACAGCCAGGAAGGCAGGGAGAGCUGAGCGUGGACUAAGAGCUGCCGGAGGAAUAUGAGAGGAGAAUUUUGCCCUAUAAGUUUUAAUAAGGUGGUGGGUUAAGAGAAAUGCAGCUAGGGAGAAAAAUGGGGAAUGUUCUCUCUCCAAAUGGGCACUGCUUCAGUUUGUAAAAGCACCAGGGAUUCCCCAUGUGGCUUAAUUUAUUAUUUUCCCACUCGUUAAAUGCCAAAACAAUAAAGCAAAAUCUAUUGUUAGCUUUAAAAUGCAGAUGAUUUGCAUAUGGCUGUGAUCGUCCUACUGCUGCCUUCAUUUAAACUCAGUAAGCCGAGGUACCUUUAAAAAUUAUGACUUGUUUUACAUUUAAUAUACUGAACUAUGUUAACAUAAUAGUAAGGGGCUGACUUCACAGCGUAAUUGCUGAUCAUGGAGGAGGCUGGGUAGCGGCAGCGUUAGCCUGGUGGCGCGGUAGGGCUGUCCAACAGCAUAGCAAAAAGGGGCUGAGCUGCUCUCGUCCUUGGCGUGAUGCCCUCCUGAGAGCACCAGGAAACCCAGAGCGAUUUCGGUGCUGCUCUUGGUUUGCUUCUGCUGGAAGGCAUUCAGGGCCCACGCAAUGCAAACAGGACGUAACUGCACCCCAACCAAGUCCUGUUGGGAAAUCAGUUGGAUUUUCUUUUUCUCCCGUUCAGUAAAAUUUUGUAGAGGGGAAUGAAUGUCCUAUUUAUUAGAGACCCCCCUACUGGGGGUCUCCAAGGUUGCUGUGGAGAGCCUGUGUGGUUCUAGCGCUGUUAUUACAUCCUCUUGAAUGUUUUCCUUCCUUGUUUGACCCCUGCUCGUGUCAGGCUGAACGGAGACAGCAUAGGGACUGGGAAAGGGAACCAGCUCCACAGAGGCUGCUAAUUCCUGCCUGAAUUCAGAGACCCUGUGGCAGUAGGGCUGGCAAGGCGCAAAGCCUGCGAGCUGCUGUGUGGGAAGGGGGCAUGGAGCUGUAUCCUCUGCACCUUCUGGAUUUGUAGCAGGAGCCUCCAGGUCAGCACGUGAUGGCAGAGCACCACCUUCCAGGAGGGAGCUGCUGCAGAUGGCUGACCUUCCUGUCUGCUACAUCCAAAGAAAACUUCAUGAAGGACUAAAUACUGCCCCAAGGUGUGUCCACAAUAAGCAGCAUUUAUGGGCUUCUCAGGAGCUGAAGAUGUAUCCAAGCAUUACCAGCCAUUCACAUCCGUGUGUGUCUCUGACUUCUGUGCAUAGCUCCAAUUUGGGAGUUCUGGACUCCUUAAAAAAUUUGCCUUUGUUCCUCAAAUAAAAAGCGUAUAGAUUGACAGAGAU